rnacentral:rRNA from 1 species
AUUGCAGCCUGCAACUCGGCUGCAUGAAGCUGGAAUCGCUAGUAAUCGCAGAUCAGAAUGCUGCGGUGAAUACGUUCCCGGGUCUUGUACACACCGCCCGUCACACCAUGGGAGUCGGGAAUGCCCGAAGUCAGUGACCCAACCGCAAGGAGGGAGCUGCCGAAGGCAGGCUCGAUAACUGGGGUGAAGUCGUAACAAGGUAAC